GAAGGUGAGUGAGUGCUGGGUCAGAGUGGACAAGGAAGAGUCCCAGCUGGCUCCAGCGAGCCUCCCUCCCCCUUCCCUGUCAGGGGCGCCUCCAGGUACAGAGAAAGCCAGACUAACCACUACUAGUCUGGGCGAGCUGUCAGCCAUCUGGGUCAAAUGAUGAACUGUGAGAUGAACAAGACUUGGAACCAAGUUCUUUCUUCAAGGUGUCCAGAAGAUCCCACCUCAGCCCUGCAGGGCAAUGUGUGGAUACCGGAGGAGUGAACACUAGGUUAGGCAGGUUCCUGGCUACUUACACACAUACAUACACAUUAGCUUACAAAAAGAGAUUGGACUUCAGAGAUGACAACUGACAUGGCUAAAGUAACAUUGGAACUAUGAGGAAGAGCUUGGAUUCAAUGCAAAUCUGUUACCACAGGGCUAACUAAGUUGUUGGGAAGAAGGGAAGCAUCGACCACGGGCAGCCUCCUCUCACGGACAGUGCCACCGAGACCUUCUGUCAGCAGCCUCAUGCUUGGCUAGGGCUGCACGGGAGACGUGAACAGCACCAGGAGAGCCCUCCAUCCCCACAAGGUUCUUAUGGACUGGGUCUGGUAACAAAGUGUAUCUACUCAGUCUCUAUGGGCUUGAAGGUCCCAGACAGCAUGGAUGCUAUAUCACCCAGUCCCUAGGAUCCAAUCACUCCAGUGUGCUUAUCAUCUGCACUUUACAGAUUGAGAAACCGAGGCACAGCAUUGUGCAACUCUUCUGUGCCACUUGGAUUGGAAGCUGAAUCCAGAGAGAGGGGCAGAGAUGGCUUUCAACACUGGGACAGGCAAGAGAGACGACAAGAUGAAGCUUAGAUGCCUCUGAGGUUCUAGGCACCAGCAUGAUGUUCAGGGUCGCUUGGGAAGUGUGGAUCUGGCUCUCGGGGCCCAUCACGGGGGCCUUGAAACAGUCACAUAGUACUUAGAGCAUGAAGCAGCUACCAUAAAAUAUCUUUUCA
rnacentral:lncRNA from 1 species